rnacentral:lncRNA from 1 species
ACGUAGAAAAGUUUUAAUGAGACAAAUGUCAAACAAGCACAUCAACUUCUUAAAAAACAAAGAAAAUCUGAAAGUUUAAUUACAAAAACACUUAUACAGAAAACUUGGCAUUUCAACAGUUCCAAACACAUGUACACAAGUUUUUUCUAAAAUCAGUCAGAAAUAAAAUACCUUGUCUCCCUUUCCUCAGCUGCUUCUUGUAUUUUAAUUAAAAAGAAACAAAGAAAUCUGUAACACUGAAUAGGCAACAACUUAUUUCUUGAGAACAUAAAAGUACAGUAAUAUCUACAGGUGUACUGGGAAACAUGAGUUAGGUAUUGUGCUAGCCUGUAACUUCAUUUACUGCCUCCUCACUGAGCACAGAGGAGAGAGGAGGUGGCACAGACCUGGUCUAUAGAUACUGACAGUUUUGUGGCAUCUGAAUCCCAGCCACCAGAGGCAGGUGAGUAGCUACUGGGAAAGACAGCAUUUCAGAAGCAAGCUGCUUAUUUUGUGAAAAUGAUUUCAUACUGUAGGCUCUCUUGAAAUCUCAUGCAUUCCUGA